rnacentral:rRNA from 1 species
UACGUAGGGACCAAGCGUUGCUCGGAUUUACUGGGCGUAAAGGGCGCGUAGGCGGCAUAUUAAGUCAGCUGUGAAAUCUCCGAGCUUAACUCGGAACUGUCAGCUGAUACUGAUGUGCUAGAGUGCAGAAAGGGCAAUCAGAAUUCUUGGUGUAGCGGUGAAAUGCGUAGAUAUCAAGAGGAAUACCUGAGGCGAAGGCGGGUUGCUAGGCUGACACUGACGCUGAGGCGCGAAAGCCAGGGGAGCAAACGGG